CCUACGGGAGGCUGCAGUGAGGAAUAUUGGUCAAUGGACGAGAGUCUGAACCAGCCAAGUCGCGUGAAGGAUGACUGCACUAUGGGUUGUAAACCUCUUUUAUCAAGGAAUAAAACGAGGCACGUGUCCCCUUUUGCGUGUACCUUAUGAAUAAGGAUCGGCUAACUCCGUGCCAGCAGCCGCGGUAAUACGGAGGAUCCGAGCGUUAUCCGGAUUUAUUGGGUUUAAAGGGAGCGUAGGGGGGUUGGUAAGUCAGUUGUGAAAGUGUGCGGCUCAACCGUAAAAUUGCAGUUGAUACUGGCAGUCUUGAGUACAGUAGAGGUAGGCGGAAUGCGUGGUGUAGCGGUGAAAUGCAUAGAUAUCGCGAAGAACUCCGAUUGCGAAGGCAGCAUGCUAGACUGAGACUGACAUUGAGGCUCGAAAGUGUGGGUAUCAAACAGGAUUAGAUACCCUAGUAGUC
rnacentral:rRNA from 1 species